UUGUAGGUUGUAGAAUUCUUAUGUCUGAUUUUGAAGGUUUCACACAUAGCUUUCAUCAAGUCGUCGUUGAGAUUGGAGCCAUUAUCAGUAAUAAUUGACUCUGGAAUCCUGAAUCGGCAAACAAUACGGUCGCGGACAAAGUCUCCAUGACUUUCCUAGUUACUGCUCUGUAAGAUGCUGCUUCUACCUACUUGGUGAAGUAAUCAAUUGCCACUAGGAUGAACG
rnacentral:lncRNA from 1 species